rnacentral:rRNA from 1 species
CCUACGGGCGUCAGCAGUGGGGAAUAUUGCGCCAUGGGCGAAAGCCUGACGCAGCGACGCCGCGUGAGGGAUGAAGGUCUUCGGAUCGUAAACCUCUGUCAGCAGGGAAGAACGGUCACUGUGCUAAUCAGCAGUGCAUUGACGUUACCUGCAAAGGAAGCACCGGCUAACUCCGUGCCAGCAGCCGCGGUAAUACGGAGGGUGCGAGCGUUAAUCGGAAUUACUGGGCGUAAAGCGCUCGUAGGCGGUAUGUCAAGUCAAGGGUGAAAUCCCCGCGCUCAACGUGGGAACUGCCUUUGAAACUGGCAAAAUGGAGUGUGUGAGAGGAUAGUGGAAUUCCAGGUGUAGGAGUGAAAUCCGUAGAUAUCUGGAGGAACAUCAGUGGCGAAGGCGACUAUCUGGCACAUAACUAACGCUGAGGAGCGAAAGCGUGGGUAGCAAACAGGAUUAGAUACCCUUGUAGUC